rnacentral:rRNA from 1 species
GAUGAACGCUGGCGGCGUGCCUAAUACAUGCAAGUCGAGCGAACAGACGAGGAGCUUGCUCCUCUGACGUUAGCGGCGGACGGGUGAGUAACACGUGGAUAACCUACCUAUAAGACUGGGAUAACUUCGGGAAACCGGAGCUAAUACCGGAUAAUAUAUUGAACCGCAUGGUUCAAUAGUGAAAGACGGUUUUGCUGUCACUUAUAGAUGGAUCCGCGCCGCAUUAGCUAGUUGGUAAGGUAACGGCUUACCAAGGCAACGAUGCGUAGCCGACCUGAGAGGGUGAGCGGCCACACUGGAACUGAGACACGGUCCAGACUCCUACGGGAGGCAGCAGGAGGGAAUCUUCCGCAAUGGGCGAAAGCCUGACGGAGCAACGCCGCGUGAGUGAUGAAGGUCUUCGGAUCGUAAAACUCUGUUAUUAGGGAAGAACAAAUGUGUAAGUAACUAUGCACGUCUUGACGGUACCUAAUCAGAAGGCCACGGCUAACUACGUG